AGGGGGGGCAGGAGGGGCAGCGGGAGGGCCUGGGGCUCAGGCUGAGUGGCUGACCCACGCUGGGGACCUGGGGACAUCACCUCGGCUCCCUGGCUCUGUGUCCCCAUCUGGGACAGGGCAGGGCCUGGGGGACUGAGAGGCCCCAGCAGCUCUGGCCAGGAGACGACCCCGUUCUGUCCCCACAGAUGCUUCUGUGAAGGACCCUCAGCCUGAGGACGGGGUGGAGCUGGACAAUCGGGGCCCACCUGACGGAGACCCCCAGGGAGUGACACACGCCCAGGUGGAGCACUCAGGACCCAGGAGGGGCGGGAGCUCCCCUCUUUCCCCGCUGUUGGGGCAGUUCCUGGGCACAGAGGACGCAGAGGACAGACAGACGGACACUCAGGCUGCUGCGUCUGAAGGUCCCCAGGACGUGACCUACGCCCAGCUGUGCAGGUGGACACUCAGACGGGGGGCCGCUGCCCCUCCCUCCUCCCAGGCAGAGGAGCCCCCAGCGGAGCCCAGUGUGUACGCUGCUCUGGCCCCCGCUCACCCCGGAGCUGCCCCCAAGGACACUCACUAGUGGCCCUCAGCCAGCCAGCCACCUGACACCUCCAGAGACUCGGGAACUGAGACCGGCCUGACUCUGCAUCAGAGAAAAGUGAUACCCUGCAUUUCACUAAUAAAGCCAGAGUUUCUCAAUAACCAAGGAGUGGACGAGAAACAGAGGGACAGGAGGUCUCAACAUGAAUGACAAGGUUAACACUGCACACCAAGGCUGUGAAGUGAGAAAGUUAAGGACCUGAAUGAUCAUGUUAGGAAACGUU